rnacentral:tRNA from 1 species
GUCUGGGUAGUUCAAUGGAUAGAACGGAGGUUUCCUAAACCUUUGAUCUGGGUUCGAUUCCCAGCCCGGAUACCA